AUCUGAGUCCAUAUUAAGGAACAGAAAAAAGAAAGCUUUCAUAGUAGCAACUUGGAAUAAAAUCUGGCAUGCCUGAGGUUGCUGGGGGAGAGAGGAUGUCUGUUUUCCUUCGUCUUCCUUUGGCUGCCUACACGC
ensembl:snoRNA small nucleolar RNA SNORA67